rnacentral:lncRNA from 1 species
GUAGAGGAGGGAUGAAGGGGUGAGUAGAGGAGGGGUGAAUGAGUGAAUAGAGAAGGGGUGAGUAGAGGAGGGAUGAAGGGGUGAAUAGAGGGAUGAAGGGGUGAAUAGAGGAGGGGUGAAUAGAGGAGGGAUGAAGGGGUGAAUAGAGGAGGGAUGCAGGGGUGAAUAGAGGGAUGAAGGGGUGAAUAGAGGAGGGGUGAAUAGAGGAGGGAUGAAGGGGUGAAUAGAGGAGGGAUGAAGGGGUGAGUAGAGGAGGGAUGAAGGGGUGAAUAGAGGAGGGAUGAAGGGGUGAGUAGAGGUGGGAUGAAGAGGUGAGUAGAGGAGGGAUGAAGGGGUGAAUAGAGGAGGGAUGAAGGGGUGAAUAGAGGAGGAUUGAAAUGUCACCGUGCCAACAGUAAACUGUUUAAUCUACAGUGUUUUAUGAAUGACAUAUACAUUGCAAUCCCCCGAACCUCUCCCAACCCUCCAACUCAAAACCCACUCACAGUGCAGAGGUAGGCCCAUUCAGGCUUGCAGUGGAGUAGUAUAGACUAUCAAUCAGACCUGGCUAUGUCUCACCAUGGAGAAGACAGGCCAGAGUAGCCUAUGGAUCAGACCUGGCUAUAUCUCACCAUGGAGAAGACAGGCCAGAGUAGCCUAUGGAUCAGACCUGGCUAUAUCUCACCAUGGAGAAGACAGGCCAGAGUAGCCUAUGGAUCAGACCUGGCUAUAUCUCGCCAUGGAGAAGACAGGCCAGAGUAGCCUAUGGAUCAGACCUGGCUAUAGCUCACAGGGUAGGAAUGCCUAUGGUUCAAGCCUGCUUGACUGGCCAUCCUUCUCUCUGGAGAAACAAAGGCAGCCUAUAGCUAUAGCAGCCUGCGUUUCAGGGCAGGUCUAGCGAUCCAUUCUUCACAGUGAGGCCACAGUAUAGCAGCCUGUGGUUCAGGGCAG